rnacentral:rRNA from 1 species
UACGAAGGGGGCUAGCGUUGUUCGGAAUUACUGGGCGUAAAGCGCGCGCAGGCGGUCUUCCAAGUCAGUGGUGAAAGCCUGGAGCUCAACUCCAGAACUGCCAUUGAAACUGUUAGACUUGAGUACGAGAGAGGUGAGUGGAAUUCCCAGUGUAGAGGUGAAAUUCGUAGAUAUUGGGAAGAACACCAGUGGCGAAGGCGGCUCACUGGCUCGUAACUGACGCUCGGGCGCGACAGCGUGGGGAUCAAACAGG